CACGUAGGGUGCGAGCGUUGUCCGGAAUUAUUGGGCGUAAAGAGCUCGUAGGCGGUGUGUCGCGUCGGCCGUGAAAACCUGCAGCUUAACUGUGGGCGUGCGGUCGAUACGGGCAUCACUGGAGUUCGGCAGGGGAGACUGGAAUUCCUGGUGUAGCGGUGAAAUGCGCAGAUAUCAGGAGGAACACCGGUGGCGAAGGCGGGUCUCUGGGCCGAUACUGACGCUGAGGAGCGAAAGCAUGGGUAGCGAACAGG
rnacentral:rRNA from 1 species